UACGUAGGGGGCAAGCGUUGUCCGGAAUCAUUGGGCGUAAAGAGCGUGUAGGCGGCCCGGUAAGUCCGCUGUGAAAGUCGGGGGCUCAACCCUCGAAUGCCGGUGGAUACUGUCGGGCUAGAGUGCGGAAGAGGCGAGUGGAAUUCCUGGUGUAGCGGUGAAAUGCGCAGAUAUCAGGAGGAACACCGAUUGCGAAGGCAGCUCGCUGGGACGUAACGGACGCUGAGACGCGAAAGCGUGGGGAGCAAACAGG
rnacentral:rRNA from 1 species